GUAAGAAAUGGAGGUCAAAGGCUGACCCAGAGGAAGACAUCGAAGCCAACUUUGUUACAGACCCAGAUAAUGAAGAACUAAGGCGUCUGGUAAUAGAGAUGACACCAGUCUAUGGGAUAAAGAGCAUUCUUAAAAAAAAAGAAGAGGAUAACAACAAUGCCAAAUUUAAAUCCCAAAAGAAGGUUCAUUUUAAGGAUUAUCUUGAGUCCAUUAAGAAGGCAGAAAAAGACUAAAAAGCCAAAAAAAUAAGAAAAAUAAAAUAUAAACAAGCAGGCAAAUAAAAACUUUGAGAAAAUGAUACAAACGGGGGCAUGGCUUGGACACCAUCUGGAAGGAAGCAGGCAGGUAAGCUGCUCCUGAGGCGUACCUGGACGCUUGCCAUGCCCGGACUCAAGGACCAGCCGCAGGACACACUGAGACUGUGUUGCAACGAGGCAUUGGACCUGCUUGCCUGCCGAGCUGCCGGACACCUUCUCGGUUGUGGGUGCCCAAUACAACGGCCAACGCAGAGGACCGUGACCAGCAACGCCCCCCCCUAUGUGCUCCAGGGAGGGCCUGGAGGUGGUAGUAUUGUGAGACCGGAGCUGGACAUUGGAACAGGGCCUAAGGCAGUGGCAGAGAGCAAAGCUGAUCUGAAGGAGGGAGUCCCCAUAUAGGCCAGUCUACAAGGAGAAGCGGAGGCCAGACGGGGAGAGAAUCACCUUCCUGCUGCCCACUAACUUCAGGCAGUCAAUGAACUUUACCCCACUGUGUAUCAAUAACAUACAAGUACUGUACUGUGAAUAUGCAGGCCGUUCUUCACUGCAUAUUUAUAACAUGUACAUACUGUGACUCCACAAUGAAUGAUUUCCGAAAUAAAGGGUCACGUAAAUAUA